AUUGUUUCUAUAUAUGUAUAUAAAUAUGUCGGAGAUGAAAGGACAUCGGGGUCUUUUUUUGGAAUUUUUGGGAAGAUCCCCAAUACUUUAGUCUAGCCCGAGA